GAUGAACGCUGGCGGCGUGCCUAAUACAUGCAAGUCGAGCGAACAGACGAGGAGCUUGCUCCUCUGACGUUAGCGGCGGACGGGUGAGUAACACGUGGAUAACCUACCUAUAAGACUGGGAUAACUUCGGGAAACCGGAGCUAAUACCGGAUAAUAUAUUGAACCGCAUGGUUCAAUAGUGAAAGACGGUUUUGCUGUCACUUAUAGAUGGAUCCGCGCCGCAUUAGCUGGUUGGUAAGUUAACGGCUUACCAAGGCAACGAUGCGUAGCCGACGUGAGAGGGUGGUCGGCCACACUGGAACUGAGACACGGUCCAGACUCCUACGGGAGGCAGCAGUAGGGAAUCUUCCGCAAUGGGCGAAAGCUUGACGGAGCAACGCCGCGUGAGUGAUGAAGGUCUUCGGAUCGUAAAACUCUGUUAUUAGGGAAGAACAAAUGUGUAAGUAACUAUGCACGUCUUGACGGUACCGAAUCAGAAAGCCACGGCUAACUACGUG
rnacentral:rRNA from 1 species